rnacentral:lncRNA from 1 species
GGAUAUUUCAAGCCUUCAUCGAGUCAAAAAGGUGCAACGGCGGAGGAUGAGACACCUGUAGAGACGCGGCGGCGGGAUCCUUAGCUGUAGCCGCCGCAGCUAGCUCAUCUCCUCGGUAAUAUUUCAACGAAUUUUAAGUCCCAAGACGCAUACAUUAUAUAUAAUGUGGGAGCGAGCAUGUAUUUGAGUUUGCUCUUUGUCAUUCAGUCACGGGUAAGAGGAGCUGUGGGCCUGUGUCUGUGUGGAGGUGUGUUCGGGUGCUUCACUGCGAUUAGCCGCUAGACUGUACAAGUCUCUUUUACAGCGGACUACUUGUUCUGCUGCUGUUUCAUUAUCCUGUUGUCAAAGGAGCUGCGGCUGUGUUUAGUUGAAGGGUGAAGAGUAAUUGAAGAUAUUUUAUUAGUCUAAUAAUCUAAUAAAUACAACAGAGUAUAAAGGCCACAUUAAGAGAGAGAAAAAACAACAUUUUUAAGACUUUGAGAUUAGUUACGAGAUUAAAGUCAGUAUUCAUGAGAAUAAAGUCAUUACGUACGUUAAUAAAGUUAUAAAUGUAUGUCAAGCUACCUGUUGUGGAGGAGAGUUGUUAAAAUGAGGGCUGUGGGGCAUUGAGAGUAAAGGUUUCACAAACAUGGAGAUAUUUAAUCCUUUGGUACAUCAGCAUUACAUUGUCAUGGGUAUCAGAACUUUAAAAAGUAUAUAUGAGAAAUGCAUCUUUUCCACAGGAACAAAACAGGUAGACUUUGAGGGAAUUGCUGCUUUUAUGAAGGGGAAAAUGACUGUAGUUUAUCAAAUGAGUCUAUAUGCCAUGAGGUGUUGAGGCCUCUGCAGGUGUAGGUCUCUGACUUACUGUAAUCAUCGGGUCCUUAUGAAACCUGCUUCAUCUUGGCGAGUGUCCGUCUUCUUUUUUAGCCAAACCAUGGGAUAUCAAAAUCCACCAGCUACUUUUUGAUUGGCUGUUUGGUAGAUAUACUUUAUUUGAUUGGCUUGUGCGUGACACGUAGCUUCUGAACUCUCGGGGUAACUCACUUGAUUCCUACCUGUUCCAUUGUAAAAGAGGUGCAACUUGGUGGACGUCACUGUGGUAAUUUAAAUGCGGGAGAAAUACAAUGUGUGGCGUGUGAACGGGUGGGAAUGCGUGUGUCACACGCCGAAUGCGUGAGACUUGAGAGCCCCGCAAAAUUGUUGGUUUAGAAAAGUAGUAACUCGCAGUUGAAUCAUAAAACUCAUGCAGCCCUACAUUGUGACACUCCCACCACCAUGCUUGAUUGUAGGCAGUACACAGUUGUCUUAGUACUCCUCACCUUGUUGCCACCACACAUGCUGGACACCAUCUGAACCACAAAAGUUUAUCUUGGUCUCAUCAGACCACAGGACGUGGUUUUAGUAAUCCACGUCCUUAGUCUGCUUGUCUUUAUCAAACUGGUUAACGGCUUUCUUGUGAAUUAUCUUCAGAAGAGGCUUCCUCCUGGGACGACAGCCAUGCAGAUCACUUUGAUGCAGUGUGUGCGCCGUACGGUCUGAGCACUGACAGGCUGACCCCCCACCCCUUCAACCUCUGCAGCAAUGACAAC